CGCGUGUGUGAAGAAGGCCUUCGGGUUGUAAAGCACUUUCAGCGAGGAGGAAAGGUCAGUAGCUAAUAUCUGCUGACUGUGACGUUACUCGCAGAAGAAGCACCGGCUAACUCCGUGCCAGCAGCCGCGGUAAUACGGAGGGUGCAAGCGUUAAUCGGAAUUACUGGGCGUAAAGCGCACGCAGGCGGUUGGAUAAGUUAGAUGUGAAAGCCCCGGGCUCAACCUGGGAAUUGCAUUUAAAACUGUCCAGCUAGAGUCUUGUAGAGGGGGUAGAAUUCCAGGUGUAACCGGUGAAAUGCCGUAAAAAGAUUCUGGAAGGAAUUACCGGUGGGCGAAAGGCGGGCCCCUUGGACAAAAGACUUGACCCUCAGGUGCCGAAAACCUGGGGGAGCCAAACCGGAAUUAAAUUCCCUGGUAAUCCCCCCCCCUAAAACGAUGUCCAUUUUGAAGCUGUGUCCCUUAAAACUGGCUUUCCGAACUAACCCGUUUAAUCACCCCCUGGGGAAUACGGCCCCAGGGUUAAACUCAAUUAAUUACGGGGCCCCCAAAACGGGGGACUG
rnacentral:rRNA from 1 species